AUGAAGUUUGGAGACCCGUGAGCCGAUGCCUCCACGCAGACGCAUGUUUUUUGCUACAUCAUUAUUUUGAUACCCGGUGGUUUGUUCUGCUGGUUGUGGGUUGUUUGCCAAGGGCCUUGGAGCAGCAGAGCUCAGGAAUGCAGCCUGCAAGCUGAAGAGUGUCACUGAAACCUGCUUUUUCAGAGCCAAGUACCACAGGUGAAUUCACUGUGACCAGCAGAUUGAGGCAGGUUCCUCUGAGGAGAAAAAACAGAGCAAGGGCCUGGAGGAGUUGUCAGCUGAGUGGGCUCUGCACUGUAGGAAGCAGGAACACCUCACCAUGGAGGUGUUGGAACCACAACUGUCCAUGAUCCAGGAAUGAUGUCAGUGGAAGGGGUAUUUCACUGGGAACAGCCCCCAGUGAGAUGCAGAGGGACACGGAGAACUUCACCCCUGGCUUGUGCAAAGUGUCUAAAAGUCACUGAGUUUCCUUUUUUUCCGGUUUCUUCUGUGACUUUAGGAAGUGAUGACAUUCCCUUCCUGCAGAGGCAGCACGUGCACAGGUUUUUUUACACAAAUGAGAUCCAUUGUCCACUGUGGCUCCCUGAGUUCAGGGCACUCCAAGGGUGACUGUUCAACCACUGCUCUGCUGUUUGCACAUCAUCUCUGCAUAAAAUGGUUACAGACCCCAAGUCUCCAUCCCUGUAAAUGCUCAGCACGGCACAGAACUGCUCCUUGUUCUCCUUCCCCACCUCCAGCAGGCAGGUAUUUAACACGAGUUCACAACUGGUUUCAUUCUAACCUUCAGUACCAAAAUACUCCAUGUGCCUUUAUGAAAGGACUUUACUUUCAAGUUAAUCUUUUAAAGCUGCAACUCAAAGGUUUACCGAAUAACUAAAGGUUUACCUUAAAAUUUAGGUUACUCAGCAUUACAGGGAAGUUGUAUCUUCCCCCCAAAACCUGGCACCUCCACUGGACACUGAGGGCUCCAGUUCCUGUGGGUUUAAGGACACUCAUUCCUCAUCUUCAGCGUGGUUAUGGUUAAUGAGACAAAUAUUGAUUUGAUGUACAACGUUGGAAAAAACAUGUUAUUUUUAUUAUUUUAAAACUUUACUUUUGAAGAUGUUGUUGUGAAGUCAAACAAGCUGGUGAUUUCCUCUCCCCACCCCCUUCCAGGCACUACUCCCUCCAGCUCCAAACCCUCCCU